UUUUGCUCUCUCUCUCUCUCUCUCUCUCUCUCUCUCUCUACAAGAAAGCGACCCACUCUAUUUUUCCCACUUGCACCUGCACCGGAACCCCUCUCUCUCUCUCUCUCUCUCUCUCUCUCUACAAGAAAGCGACCCACUCUCUAUUUUUCCCACUUGCACCUGAACCCCUCUCUCUCUCUCUCUCUACAAGAAAGCGACCCAAUAUCUAUUUUUCGCACUUGCACCCGAACUUCUUUCUCUCUAUCUUUCACAGUACCUAAAGAAUGAUUUUGGGGGAGUUCUUGUCACAUGAUGUCCAAAAUAAAUGGUUUUUUAUUGAUCAGGAAUGUGGGUUUCCAUUUGUUCAGCCUAGAUGCUAUUUUGGGAGGAGAGCUGGUUACUUGAAAUUUUUUUUUUUCUUCCAAAAUCAUUGAUUUUUCAUUGACAUGAGAUAUGGGUUUUGCUCGAAUCUUCAAUUUAUAUUUCUAAUUUCAGGCUAGAUUGAUAGGCCUUAUGAAUUUAAUGACAAUCUUUUUUUUUGUUUUUUUCUUUUCUUUUGAUCUAAAUUUGAAGAGAGCUUUCUUCAGUCCACUCAUGGGUGGCUAUAGGGUUUAAUUAGCUGCUGACUCAUUCGUUCAAAUACCAAGCAAAUGAUAGAUUGCUUGGUAAACGAGUGAAUGAUGCGGGAGACAAGUUGAAUCCUAUGCUUCCUGUCCUUGGACUGAAGGGAGCUCCCUUGUAUGUUAGGCUGUCCAAACUGGGAAUUUCUAAUAACAUAUUUGUAUAUCCAUGUAUGCAUGUACAUAUGCAAUUAAGUCCAUGAUUGCCCAUCAUUUUCUUGAUGUUGGUUUUGCAUCCAUUACACAAUAGUGAUGUUCUUUCUUUCAAAAUUAUCUUACCCUUAGCAGGUUUGGAUGUAUGAUUUGUCAUGGGUAGCUCUUGCUUAUGAUGCUUUAGAGUAUGUGAUGCUCAUCUCUUCUGUUGGACACAAACACAUGUUUUUAUAUUCAUUACAUUUUAUUGGUGAAGCUAGCCAUGAGAUAGUGGUUAAGAAGGCUGCUGAUUUUUUAUUUAUACCAAAAACUGCUCAGGUCAUUUUAACAUCUUUCUAAUGCAAAAUGCUAUCACGGGUUCUUGAAACAGGGUGAUUGCACUCCCAUGAUCAAAAUCUUCCAUUUUAGCUAUUCUUUCUUUUUUUUUUAAUCAAAUGCUUUCACUUCUUUCCCUUGUGCUUUUACUGUAUCUAAACAUGUUGUUAUGCAGACAGUGACUUCAUCUUAGGGGACUUGGCAUAGAGAAAACGGUAAGAGAAAUUGCAAUUUUUCUUAAUCUCAAUCCAUCAAAUGUUAGUUUCUCAAAAACCCCAUUUUAACAUCUUUCCUUUUUCAUUUUUUAAGCAGCCUCGGAUCCGUUUCGAACACAUAAGCUCUUUUGUUAGCUGAUGAGCGUUGAUUAUUUUAUGAAGCUACAGACCUAAGACAGUUCACCACAUUUUUAAAAUGAUGGUGAUCCGAACAUAUGGUGUAGCUGCAAGGUUACACAGACCGUCCCUGACCCAACUAUGGAUGGAGGAGCAUGACUCAAAAGAUUUCAUAGAGAAUAUUAUAGCAACCAUUUGAUUUUACCGUCGAAUUUGGACCACUCAACAUUUCUUCUAACCAUACAUUUGAUAGCCAUCAAUUAGAUGGUUAGGAUUGCUUAAUCAGUAUGGUUAUACACAUAUGCUCCAUCCAUAGCGUGCCCUACAAUUUGGGUGGUCUGGGUAGUGCAUGUGAAGUGGAUAAGUGUCCCAUUUUGAAAUGGUGGUGAACUGUCACAUGAAGAAUCACACACACGUGUAGAGGCUCUCCCGUUUACACGUAAUCACCUGUGCCUAUAUGGAACAAUUAUGUGAGAGAUGAGGUUUCCAUCAGGUGGGCCAUACAGUUUAGAUCUUCUAGCCUAAAGAUCAUGCUAUUUCUCCCCUCGGAUCGAUGGGCCGUUGUAUAAGAAACAAAUGGACGGCUAGAAGAAUAGUUCCAUCCAAUUCAUUUGUUCUGUACAGACUACACUGGCCAUCUCAAGGAGUAAAACUGUAUAACUUUUAUUAGGCAAGAAGAUCUAAAGAGAGUGGCCCACCUGAUUAGAAUCUCGAAAGCACGUGUUGUCACGUGUGCUGGCGUGUGGGCUUAUCAAAGUUGUUUGGAAAUGCUUUACUAUGCUUUCUUGAAUGUCACAGGAAGCACGUGCACAACACACGUGGGAAGGCUGGAGCUCACAUGGACUUCCCCAACAACUCUGUAGGCCCCACUCCUUUUAAUGUAGCAAGUUCCUAGACAAGUUUCCCUGAGGAAACAAUUACCAAGGUGCCCUUUUUCGAGUAACAGUCCAGUGACCAAAGAUGAGUGGUCAGAUAUCUGCUUGUAGCAAAUCGAAACUGUGUGUGCAUGUAUCAUGUGUCAUUGUUCCAGCCAUGCAAUAGUUGGGCCCCACCAUGAAUCAUGGUCGUCCUUUUAAAGUACUCAAUUGGACCAGAUUGAUUUUUGCACCAUAUGUCUUGAUGGUGGACACCAUCUUUCGGGCGGCUAGGAUUUCCUACACAUGUGACACGUUGACACGUGAGAUGGUUGAAAGUGAUGAUAGGAGGAGAACCUGGUGAAACUAUUAUGCAGCAGUGGAUUGAAUGUCCUCAUCUAAGAAUUUUGUUGUCUUGUACUUCAGCAUGGGAUUCCUCUUCUUGAUCACUUCUUUUCUAACAGGUAGAGAAUUUACUGACGUGGCACUUUCUUAAUCUUUUCACAUUAGUGGUAAUAAUCACAUUAAUCAUGUAUUAAUAUACCAACUAUCAUUGCCCAAUAUGUUGUUUUAAUGGCUAUAUAAGAUAGUCAUUUUCUUAUAUUAUAGAAAAUGGAGGCAGGAUCCUUUCGAUUAUUUUAUAACUCUGCUUGUGAGGCCACUGUGGUUUUUUGAUGGAAUCCAACCCAUUCAAAAGGGCCGCCCUACCACGAAAGUGGAAGACUGAUUCAAUCAUAUCAUGUAGCCCACUUUUGAAUUUGAAAGUUUUUGGUGGA